AACGCACAUUGCGCCCACUAGUAUUCUGGCGGGCAUGCCUGUUCGAGCGUCCUUUGGACCCUCGGGCCCCCUGUGAAUUUCCGCAGCGGGGCCCGGUGUUGGGGCUGCGCGGCUGCCGCGCUCCCCUAAAUCCAGUGGCGGACCCCUCCGUGGCCCUGGCGUAGUAACUUUUCUCGCCUUCGGACGCGGCGCGGGCCUUGCCCACAGCACCAACUAAACAAAGUUGGACCUCGAAUCAGGUAGGAAUACCCGCUGAACUUAA
rnacentral:misc_RNA from 1 species